AUCUCUUAAGUUGAAACAACAUUAGAUUGCAAAUCUAAAGAAUUAAAGAGAUA
rnacentral:tRNA from 2 species